rnacentral:rRNA from 1 species
AUUGCACUGGUUCCUAUAUGAUCCCUGAAGUUAAGCAAUAUUGAGCCUGGUCAGUACCUAGAAGGUGACUGCUUGGGAAUACCAGGUGCUGUAAG